GAUGAACGCUGGCGGCGUGCCUAACACAUGCAAGUCGAGCGAUCUUCUUCGGAAGAGAGCGGCGGACGGGUGAGUAACGCGUGGGUAACCUGCCCUGUACACACGGAUAACAUACCGAAAGGUAUGCUAAUACGAGAUAAUAUACUUUUAUCGCAUGGUAGAAGUAUCAAAGCUUUUGCGGUACAGGAUGGACCCGCGUCUGAUUAGCUAGUUGGUAAGGUAACGGCUUACCAAGGCGACGAUCAGUAGCCGACCUGAGAGGGUGAUCGGCCACAUUGGAACUGAGACACGGUCCAAACUCCUACGGGAGGCAGCAGUGGGGAAUAUUGCACAAUGGGCGAAAGCCUGAUGCAGCAACGCCGCGUGAGCGAUGAAGGCCUUCGGGUCGUAAAGCUCUGUCCUCAAGGAAGAUAAUGACAGUACUUGAGGAGGAAGCCCCGGCUAACUACGUGCCAGCCGCCGCAGUAAAAC
rnacentral:rRNA from 1 species